rnacentral:rRNA from 1 species
UACGGAGGGGGCUAGCGUUAUUCGGAAUUACUGGGCGGAAAGCGCACGUAGGCGGAUCUGCAAGUCAGAGGUGAAAUCCCAGGGCUCAACCUUGGAACUGCCUUUGAAACUGCGGGUCUUGAGUUCGAGAGAGGUGAGUGGAAUUCCGAGUUUAGAGGUGAAAUUCGUAGAUAUUCGGAGGAACACCAGUGGCGAAGGCGGCUCACUGGCUCGAUACUGACGCUGAGGUGCGAACGCGUGGGGAGCCAACAGG